ACCAGCUUGAAUGCCAGUCCAUGGAACCAGUUCAGUGCUUCUAGAAUGGAGCGCUGAACAAUUUCAUGCACAUCCCUAGUCUGUUUAUACACAGACCAUAUUGUGACUGUAUAAACCAACCUUACAGGCAGAAUAAUACCAAUUCUAGUAUCUCUCAUUAACAUGCACUUAUUACUCAAGUAAUGAACAUUGGUCUUACCUGUGAAGGGUUGUUUUUCCCUGUGUUUGAAGCUCCUCAUUAUGGGUUAAGUACAGAGCAUGCUCAGAAAACAGGACUGACAUCAUUGUAGUUUUAGCUUCCUGCCGCUUGGAGGCAUGUAGACCCCAGUUCCAGGAGUGUAGUGAGGAAUGGCAAUGAAAAAUAAAAGGAGAGGGCUCCCUAGAAACUUAUGGAAGAAAAUUCACAGAUACAGCUCAAGAGGAGGAAAGGUGGUAGAAAAGGUUAGUAGGAUAAAUAACUAAUCACUAAUGACCCAAAGGAGGUGACCCUACCCCCCAAAAUGGAAAAUUCCAAAGUACUUGCCAAAUGGCAAGCAAUGGUCAUAAGGAAGGGAAGUCAGGUACAUCUGAGUGGGCAUGAAAAGCUCCAGACACAGGGGCAAAGAACCCUUCACAGCUAAGUCCAAUUUUCAUUUUCCCCUGUGCUGGAGCUUCUCACUAUGGGGCAUGCCCAAGCAGACUAACUGGGGGAGGAAGAUCUACCUAUAUGACCUGUUACGGAACCCUGUGCCUGAAGGCCGCCUGCAGGGUGUAGGUGGUUAUCUUAUAGUGGCGAAUGAAUGGUGUGAUGGAGGACCAGGUAGCUGCUUUGGUAGCCCAAGUGGCAGCUCUACAAAUAUCAGCUAAGGGGGCCAAGGUAGACAAGGCCGCAGAGGCUGCUGCGCUCCGGGUGGAGUGAGCGGUAAUACCCUCAGGCGCAGUCUCUCCUGCCGCGGCGUAGGCCAGCUGGAUAGUUUGGCAGAUCCAGCGUGCCAGGGAGGAGACAGAGACCUUCCUACCCAUAGAACUGGCACGAAAGGACACAAAAAAGGAUUCGGAGACCCUGAAAGAUUUAGUCCGCCUCAAGUAAAUACGGAUCGCACGACGGACGUCCAAUUUGUGCCAUUCCCUCUCCAUAGGCCCUAUGUGGCUUUGGACACUUACAGCCCAGGGAAGCCGGGCGGAAGGACACAAAAAGAGAGUCUGACUUGCGGAAUUCUGCUGUGCAACGAAGAUGGGUUCCAAUGCUGAACCAAAGAGGUCUGAUCCAGAAAAAGGCGAAGCUGUGAAUGCUGUCUUGGACUUGGGAUCUACUUGCCAUGAUUUUAACCAGAGAGAUCUGCGAACCGCUACCCCUGCAGCUAAGGAUCAAGAAGCCUGUGGAUGCAGACCAAGCUAGAGUCUGACUACCAGGCAGCCUGUGCGCCUACCAAUCGCAGCCAUCUGGCUUGUGUCAAAGUCUGUGAGUCAAGCAGCUACAGUGCAACAGGAAGAAAGGCAGUGAUGUCACUCUUCAGGUCAGGCAAAGAACAAAGAUGUAUUCUACCAUUAAAAAGCUGGGUGCCCCAGGAGUAGAGGCCUCUAGCAUGCUUUUACUUGAUGAUUUAUGGUUAAUGCUGUUCUUUCUACUAACUAAGUAGCAGAGCACCACCUAGUGGUUAACACCUAGUGGGGAAAAAGGUGCAAGGAAAAUUAGGAGAGAGAGAGAGAAAUAGCAGCAUGGGUUGCUAAAGCUACUUCACACAACUUUUUAAGAAACAGACAUUAUUUGCCCUAAAAAAAUGCUCCCGCCUGUAAUAGGUUCAUCUGUUC